rnacentral:piRNA from 1 species
UAAGUCUGAGGUAAUGAGGAAGU